rnacentral:rRNA from 1 species
UGACCGCUGGCGGUAGGCCUAACACAUGCAAGUCGAACGGCAGCACAGUAAGAGCUUGCUCUUACGGGUGGCGAGUGGCGGACGGGUGAGGAAUACAUCGGAAUCUACUUUUUCGUGGGGGAUAACGUAGGGAAACUUACGCUAAUACCGCAUACGACCUACGGGUGAAAGCAGGGGAUCUUCGGACCUUGCGCGAUUGAAUGAGCCGAUGUCGGAUUAGCUAGUUGGCGGGGUAAAGGCCCACCAAGGCGACGAUCCGUAGCUGGUCUGAGAGGAUGAUCAGCCACACUGGAACUGAGACACGGUCCAGACUCCUACGGGAGGCAGCAGUGGGGAAUAUUGGACAAUGGGCGCAAGCCUGAUCCAGCCAUACCGCGUGGGUGAAGAAGGCCUUCGGGUUGUAAAGCCCUUUUGUUGGGAAAGAAAAGCAGCAGGUUAAUACCCCGCUGUUCUGACGGUACCCAAAGAAUAAGCACCGGCUAACUUCGUG